CUCCAGUUGGAUGCAUGUCCUUCUGGGAAAGAUUCAUCGGUAUGGGAUGGGGUCGCGUCCUAUCAGCUUGAUGGCGGGGUAACGGCCCACCAUGGCUUCGACGGGUAGCCGGCCUGAGAGGGCGACCGGCCACAUUGGGACUGAGAUACGGCCCAGACUCCUACGGGAGGCAGCAGUGGGGAAUAUUGCACAAUGGGCGCAAGCCUGAUGCAGCGACGCCGCGUGCGGGAUGACGGCCUUCGGGUUGCAAACCGCUUUUGACUGGGAGCAAGCCCUUCGGGGUGAGUGUACCUUUCGAAUAAGCACCGGCUAACUACGUGCCAGCAGCCGCGGUAAUACGUAGGGUGCAAGCGUUAUCCGGAAUUAUUGGGCGUAAAGGGCUCGUAGGCGGUUCGUCGCGUCCGGUGUGAAAGUCCAUCGCUUAACGGUGGAUCCGCGCCGGGUACGGGCGGG
rnacentral:rRNA from 1 species